AAGUCGUAACAAGGUUUCCGUAGGUGAACCUGCGGAAGGACCAUUACAAAUAAAGCUGGUAGGAAGUGGGGUCGUUGCAUUCUGCUAAGGUGGAUGAGAUGGCUGGAAGCCAGUACCCGGACGUCGGCCUUGCCCUCCGAAAAUGUCUUACAUGUCCCCCACAGCCUGAAGGCCGAAUUACAACCCUUGAUUAUCUACACUUGUUGCUUUGGGGGUGCUCAAGUGCCCCAGAGGACCCAACUCUCUUGCAUUUAGUGACGUCUGAGUACUAUAUAAUAUUUAAAAA
rnacentral:misc_RNA from 1 species